CUAGCCAUUAUUCAAUCAGAAUUCUAUGAGUUGGUUUAUCUAGGCUCUUAGUCGGCUAACCUUCAACAUUGAGUUGGCUAAAUGAAACUCUAAGAUGGCUCAGCAGUAUAUAUCAAAAAUCCAAUGUUUCAUCUUAUUCUGUCUAUUUGAGAUUGGGUUGGCUCAGAUCUUGUUUUAAUCGACAAACUUGAAUACUUGAUUUUCUAGCUGAUUCUCU
rnacentral:lncRNA from 1 species